rnacentral:lncRNA from 1 species
CACAGCUAGGGGAGCCAUUGCUCUGCCCACUGAAUGGAAGGGGAAACUGAAGUGCAGCCUCCUGAACUGAUUCUCCAAAGAUUACAUAACUGAUCAGUGGGAGAAUGGAACCACCCCUCCUCAGUAUAAGAAGCAUGCUGUGAUAUUGAGUCAAUUGGUUGCCCAAUCACAGACAUCUUUCACUGACAGAGUAACAGGUGUGUGGGCUUUGAGCAGUCGCUACACCUUCCCUCUUCAGGCAUGAUGAGAGGAUUCCUGCAGCGUUUUGCAAGAGAGAUGAAGUUUCAUCAUGUUGUCCAGGCUGAUAUCCAAC